rnacentral:misc_RNA from 1 species
GAUGAAGAACGCAGCGAAAUGCGAUAAGUAAUGUGAAUUGCAGAAUUCAGUGAAUCAUCGAAUCUUUGAACGCACAUUGCGCCCUCUGGUAUUCCGGGGGGCAUGCCUGUUCGAGCGUCAUUAUAACCACUCAAGCUCUCGCUUGGUAUUGGGGUUCGCGGUUCCGCGGCCCCUAAAAUCAGUGGCGGUGCCUGUCGGCUCUACGCGUAGUAAUACUCCUCGCGAUUGAGUCCGGUAGGUCUACUUGCCAGCAACCCCCAAUUUUUACAGGUUGACCUCGGAUCAGGUAGGGAUACCUGCUGAACUUAAGCAUAUCAAUAAGCGGAGGA